AAAGAAAUAUCUAUUAAAAAGCUUCUAACUUUUUCUUAAGCAUUAAACUGUUUAU
rnacentral:tRNA from 1 species